rnacentral:rRNA from 1 species
CAUGCCGUAAACGUUGGGCACUAGGUGUGGGUCUCAACCAACGAGAUCCGCGCCGUCGCUAACGCAUUAAGUGCCCCGCCUGGGGAGUACGGUCGCAAGACUAAAACUCAAAGGAAUUGACGGGGGCCCGCACAAGCAGCGGAGCGUGUUGCUUAAUUCGAUGCAACGCGAAGAACCUUACCUGGGUUUGACAUGUAGUGAAAAGCUCUAGAGAUAGGGUGUCCUUCGGGGCGCUACACAG